GACGAACGCUGGCGGCGGGCCUAACACAUGCAAGUCGAACGCUCGUAGCAAUACGAGAGUGGCAGACGGGUGGGUAACACGUGGGAACCUUCCCUAUGGUUCGGAAUAGCUCAGGGAAACUUGAGGUAAUACCGGAUAAGCCCUUCGGGGAAGGAUUUAUCGCCAUUGGAUGAGCCCGCGUCGGAUUAGCUAGUUGGUGAGGUAACGGCUCACCAAGGCGACGAUCCGUAGCUGGUCUGAGAGGAUGAUCAGCCACACUGGGACUGAGACACGGCCCAGACUCCUACGGGAGGCAGCAGUGGGGAAUAUUGGACAAUGGGCGCAAGCCUGAUCCAGCCAUGCCGCGUGAGUGACGAAGGUCUUCGGAUUGUAAAGCUCUUUUGGCGGGGACGAUAAUGACGGUACCCGCAGAAUAAGCCCCGGCUAGCUUCGUGCCAGCCGCCGCGGUAAG
rnacentral:rRNA from 1 species